rnacentral:rRNA from 1 species
UACGGGGGGGGCAAGCGUUGUUCGGAAUUACUGGGCGUAAAGGGCUUGUAGGUGGCCAACUAAGUCAGACGUGAAAUCCCUCGGCUUAACCGGGGAACUGCGUCUGAUACUGGAUGGCUUGAGUGUGGGAGAGGGAUGCGGAAUUCCAGGUGUAGCGGUGAAAUGCGUAGAUAUCUGGAGGAACACCGGUGGCGAAGGCGGCAUCCUGGACCAUACU